rnacentral:rRNA from 1 species
UGGGGAAUAUUGGACAAUGGGCGAAAGCCUGAUCCAGCCAUGCCGCGUGUGUGAAGAAGGUCUUCGGAUUGUAAAGCACUUUAAGUUGGGAGGAAGGGCAGUAAGCGAAUACCUUGCUGUUUUGACGUUACCGACAGAAUAAGCACCGGCUAACUCUGUGCCAGCAGCCGCGGUAAUACAGGGGGUGCAAGCGUUAAUCGGAAUUACUGGGCGUAAAGCGCGCGUAGGUGGUUCGUUAAGUUGAAUGUGAAAGCCCCGGGCUCAACCUGGGAACUGCAUCCAAAACUGGCGAGCUAGAGUAGGGCAGAGGGUGGUGGAAUUUCCUGUGUAGCGGUGAAAUGCGUAGAUAUAGGAAGGAACACCAGUGGCGAAGGCGACCACCUGGGCUCAUACUGACACUGAGGUGCGAAAGCGUGGGGAGCAAACAGG